AGAGUUUGAUCCUGGCUCAGGACGAACGCUGGCGGCGUGCCUAAUACAUGCAAGUCGAGCGAGCGGAACUAACAGAUUUACUUCGGUAAUGACGUUAGGAAAGCGAGCGGCGGAUGGGUGAGUAACACGUGGGGAACCUGCCCCAUAGUCUGGGAUACCACUUGGAAACAGGUGCUAAUACCGGAUAAGAAAGCAGAUCGCAUGAUCAGCUUUUAAAAGGCGGCGUAAGCUGUCGCUAUGGGAUGGCCCCGCGGUGCAUUAGCUAGUUGGUAAGGUAAAGGCUYACCAAGGCGAUGAUGCAUAGCCGAGUUGAGAGACUGAUCGGCCACAUUGGGACUGAGACACGGCCCAAACUCCUACGGGAGGCAGCAGUAGGGAAUCUUCCACAAUGGACGCAAGUCUGAUGGAGCAACGCCGCGUGAGUGAAGAAGGUUUUCGGAUCGUAAAGCUCUGUUGUUGGUGAAGAAGGAUAGAGGUAGUAACUGGCCUUUAUUUGACGGUAAUCAACCAGAAAGUCACGGCUAACUACGUGCCAGCAGCCGCGGUAAUACGUAGGUGGCAAGCGUUGUCCGGAUUUAUUGGGCGUAAAGCGAGCGCAGGCGGAAGAAUAAGUCUGAUGUGAAAGCCCUCGGCUUAACCGAGGAACUGCAUCGGAAACUGUUUUUCUUGAGUGCAGAAGAGGAGAGUGGAACUCCAUGUGUAGCGGUGGAAUGCGUAGAUAUAUGGAAGAACACCAGUGGCGAAGGCGGCUCUCUGGUCUGCAACUGACGCUGAGGCUCGAAAGCAUGGGUAGCGAACAGGAUUAGAUACCCUGGUAGUCCAUGCCGUAAACGAUGAGUGCUAAGUGUUGGGAGGUUUCCGCCUCUCAGUGCUGCAGCUAACGCAUUAAGCACUCCGCCUGGGGAGUACGACCGCAAGGUUGAAACUCAAAGGAAUUGACGGGGGCCCGCACAAGCGGUGGAGCAUGUGGUUUAAUUCGAAGCAACGCGAAGAACCUUACCAGGUCUUGACAUCUAGUGCCAUUUGUAGAGAUACAAAGUUCCCUUCGGGGACGCUAAGACAGGUGGUGCAUGGCUGUCGUCAGCUCGUGUCGUGAGAUGUUGGGUUAAGUCCCGCAACGAGCGCAACCCUUGUUAUUAGUUGCCAGCAUUAAGUUGGGCACUCUAAUGAGACUGCCGGUGACAAACCGGAGGAAGGUGGGGAUGACGUCAAGUCAUCAUGCCCCUUAUGACCUGGGCUACACACGUGCUACAAUGGGCAGUACAACGAGAAGCGAGCCUGCGAAGGCAAGCGAAUCUCUGAAAGCUGUUCUCAGUUCGGACUGCAGUCUGCAACUCGACUGCACGAAGCUGGAAUCGCUAGUAAUCGCGGAUCAGCACGCCGCGGUGAAUACGUUCCCGGGCCUUGUACACACCGCCCGUCACACCAUGGGAGUCUGCAAUGCCCAAAGCCGGUGGCCUAACCUUCGGGAAGGAGCCGUCUAAGGCAGGGCAGAUGACUGGGGUGAAGUCGUAACAAGGUAGCCGU
rnacentral:rRNA from 1 species